UGGGGAAUAUUGCACAAUGGGGGAAACCCUGAUGCAGCAACGCCGCGUGCGGGAUGACGGCCUUCGGGUUGUAAACCGCUUUCAGCCAUGACGAAGCUUUGUGACGGUAGUGGCAGAAGAAGCACCGGCUAACUACGUGCCAGCAGCCGCGGUGAUACGUAGGGUGCGAGCGUUGUCCGGAAUUAUUGGGCGUAAAGAGCUUGUAGGCGGUUUGUCGCGUCGAAAGUGUAAACUCAGUGCUUAACGCUGAGCCUGCUUUCGAUACGGGCUGACUAGAGGAAGGUAGGGGAGAAUGGAAUUCCCGGUGGAGCGGUGGAAUGCGCAGAUAUCGGGAGGAACACAAGUGGCGAAGGCGGUUCUCUGGACCUUUCCUGACGCUGAGAAGCGAAAGCGUGGGUAGCAAACAGG
rnacentral:rRNA from 1 species